rnacentral:rRNA from 1 species
CUACGGGAGGCAGCAGUAAGGAAUAUUGGACAAUGGCCGCAAGGCUGAUCCAGCCAUGCCGCGUGCAGGAAGAAGGACCUAUGGUUUGUAAACUGCUUUUGUACCAGAGAAAACCCCCUUACGUGUAAGGGGCUGAUAGUAUGGUAAGAAUAAGCAUCGGCUAACUUCGUGCCAGCAGCCGCGGUAAGACGAAGGAUGCAAGCGUUAUCCGGAUUCAUUGGGUUUAAAGGGAGCGUAGGCGGGUAGGUAAGUCAGUGGUGAAAUCCCAUCGCUUAACGAUGGAACUGCCAUUGAUACUGCUUAUCUAGAGUACAGUUGCCGUUGGCGGAAUAUGACAUGUAGUGGUGAAAUACUUAGAUAUGUCAUAGAACACCGAUUGCGAAGGCAGCUAACGAAGCUGUAACUGACGCUGAGGCUCGAAAGUGCGGGGAUCAAACAGGAUUAGAUACCCCGGUAGUCCG